rnacentral:rRNA from 1 species
CAGCAGUAGCCACGGGAAUACAGAGGGUGCGAGCGUUAAUCGGAUUUACUGGGCGUAAAGCGUGCGUAGGCGGCUUCUUAAGUCGGAUGUGAAAUCCCUGAGCUUAACUUAGGAAUUGCAUUCGAUACUGGGAAGCUAGAGUAUGGGAGAGGAUGGUAGAAUUCCAGGUGUAGCGGUGAAAUGCGUAGAGAUCUGGAGGAAUACCGAUGGCGAAGGCAGCCAUCUGGCCUAAUACUGACGCUGAGGUACGAAAGCAUGGGGAGCAAACAGGAUUAGAUACCCCGGUAGUCCCUGUCUCUUAUAA